rnacentral:lncRNA from 1 species
CCUGCCACUCCAUCCACCUCGCUCUCGCCCUCACCCAUCGCUCUUCCGCUCCCCACCGUUUCCCCCAUCUCCCGAGCGCGGCCGUCGCCGACGCGCUUCACCGCGGCCACCGGCCGGCCCUCGUCUUCUGCCACGCCGUAAAGUCUCUUCAUCGUCUGCCACGCCGCCUGGUGCCAGGUUGGGGCUAGGGAGGUCUACAGCGUCGGAUCCCCUUCAUCGUCUUCCUCUGGUCGCCGCCACCGCAUUCGACUCCGUCCAUCACCCUGCUGCUACUAAGUUGCGACCGGGCCACCGUGCGCCUCCCCGGUGAGCUCGCGCCCCUCCUCCCUUUCCCCGUGUGCCCGCGCUCCCUCUAACUCGCCUCGUAGAUGAAGCUAGCUCCGACCGCCAUCUUUGCUGGUCGCCGUCGUCGCUACAGCCCUACUCCGGUCAGGAGACGCCACGGUUCAAUGCGCCUCGUUGCCCUCGACCAAACGCGCCCGCCUCGGCUGCCUGCCGGUGCCCUGCAGCCCUGCGACGCCCGCGAACCGAUCAGCCCCUCCCGUCUUGGGUUGCCGCUAGCCCCCGGCUGCGGCCCCGUUCCCCCCUGGCCGACGCCCUGCCGCACCCGACGGCCUCGCACCGCGCCCCAGGCCGCGUGCCUCACGCCGUGGUCGUGCCCUUGCCCACCUCCGGGCCUAGCCGGUUACGCAGGCCCCGCUCCGCCUCUGACCUUGUCGCUCACCGGUGUCCCGACCUUGCCGCACCGCCCGGCAGGCUCCCCCGUCGCCGGUGGCCUUGCCCCGCGCUCGGGCGCAGCGCCCCUCGGGCACGGGCGCCCGCUCCGUUAACCGCCUGCUCCAGUUGCCGGAUGGGCCACUACCAGCAGGGCCCCACCCCCCCCUUCAAAAAAAGAAAAGAAAAUAUAUAUGAAUAAUAAACUAAUUAAUUAGUUAAUUAACUUAAUUAAAAUGGUUUAGUUAAACUAACUAAUUAGUUAGCCUAAUUAAUCAAGCAAUUCGUUAGGUGAGUCAAUGACAGGGGGGUCCCACACCUGUUGACCAGUCAAACGUUGACUGGUCAACUGGGUCCCCCUGGCCCACCUGUCUCCCACUGGGUACACUUUUGUGUACACUGUGCUGGGUGCGCCUAACAUUUUAGCAUUUAUUUUCGAAUUAAAAUUAAUUUCAGAAUAUUAAUAGAACUUUGAAAAUUAAUAGAAAUUAAACCGUAACUCGGGUCGAAAAACUUUGUACAUGAAAGUUGCUCAGAACGACGAGACGAAUCCGAAUACGCCCUCCGUUUGUCUGCCACACAUCCCUAGCAUAGAGAACAUGCAACCUUUUCCCUCUGGUUCAUCUGUCUGACAGACGUCCGGAACCGGGAAAACAUUCCCGGAUGUUUUCCCUCUUUGCCAGUAUCGCCUAACGCUACGUUGGAUACCUCUAGCACCGCUUAUUGUCUUGUUGUGCAUAUGUUUGCGUGUAUUUACUUUUUCUUCCCCUCUUCUCUCCAGUAGACCCCGAGGCUGAUGUUGCCGCUGUGAUCGUCUACGUCG